rnacentral:sRNA from 2 species
GAAGGAUCAUUACAGUAGUCGCCCGGGUUGCCGCAAGGCCUCCCGGGUAACCUACCACCCUUUGUUUAUUACACUUUGUUGCUUUGGCAAGCCUGCCCUCGGGCUGCUGGCUCCGGCCGGCGAGCGCUUGCCAGAGGACCUAAACUCUGUUUGUCUAUACUGUCUGAGUACUAUAUAAUAGUUAAAACUUUCAACAACGGAUCUCUUGGUUCUGGCAUCGAUGAAGAACGCAGCGAAAUGCGAUAAGUAAUGUGAAUUGCAGAAUUCAGUGAAUCAUCGAAUCUUUGAACGCACAUUGCGCCCCCUGGUAUUCCGGGGGGCAUGCCUGUCCGAGCGUCAUUACAACCCUCAAGCUCAGCUUGGUGUUGGGCCCCGCCGCCCCGGCGGGCCCUAAAGUCAGUGGCGGUGCCGUCCGGCUCCGAGCGUAGUAAUUCUUCUCGCUCUGGAGGUCCGGUCGUGUGCUCGCCAGCAACCCCCAAUUUUUUUCAGGUUGACCUCGGAUCAGGUAGGGAUACCCGCUGAACUUAAGCA